GGCUGCCCGAGUUGUAGUCUAGAGAAGUGUUUUCCGCGCUGGACCGUGUACAAGUCUCUUGGAACAGAGCGUCAUAGAGGGUGAGAAUCCCGUCUUUGACACGGACUACCAGUGCUUUGUGAUGCGCUCUCAAAGAGUCGAGUUGUUUGGGAAUGCAGCUCAAAAUGGGUGGUAAAUUCCAUCUAAAGCUAAAUAUUGGCGAGAGACCGAUAGCGAACAAGUACCGUGAGGGAAAGAUGAAAAGCACUUUGGAAAGAGAGUUAAACAGUACGUGAAAUUGUUGAAAGGGAAACGCUUGAAGUCAGUCGCGUCGUCCAGAACUCAACCUGGCUUUUGCUUGGUGCACUUUCUGGUUGACGGGCCAACAUCAGUUUUGACUGUCGGAAAAAGUCCUUUGGAAUGUGGCACCUCCGGGUGUGUUAUAGCCUUUGGUCGUAUACGAUGGUUGGGACUGAGGACCGCAGCACGCCUUUUGGCCGGGGUUCGCCCACGUACGUGCUUAGGAUGUUGGCGUAAUGGCUUUAAGCGACCCGUCUUGAAACACGGACCAAGGAGUCUAACAUGCCUGCGAGUGUUUGGGUGGAAAACCCGAGCGCGCAAUGAAAGUGAAAGUUGGGAUCCCUGUCGUGGGGAGCACCGACGCCCAUACCAGACCUUCUGUGACGGAUAUGCGGUUGAGCAUGUAUGUUGGGACCCGAAAGAUGGUGAACUAUGCCUGAAUAGGGUGAAG
rnacentral:rRNA from 1 species